GCUGGUUCUUUUAUUUUAUAAAAUGUGUCUGAUGUCAGGGAUAGUUAGAACAGCAAAAACAGGAUAAAGGAUGUACUGUUUCAGAAGUAAGGUGAGCUAGUUGGAAAGCUGUGUUGGGGGCAGGAGCUUUGAGACUUGCCUUAGUGGAGACCCGGCAGGCGAAAGAAACAGCGCAGGGGCGGGGAUGCGCAGGCGCACCGCUGCCUGGAAGGCAUGCACUACAGCCGGAAGUGCGGUGAAGACAUGGCCUCCCCGCCGGAGAUGAGCCUAGAGGACGAGGCCUCUCAGAGCCCGGGAGUCCUGGAGCUCCGCGGAGAAGGGCCUGAUAUGAAGCCAAGGUCCACCUGCCUGGUUGAAGCUGGACAGGAAGAUGGGAAGAAAUUCCCUGAGCAGGGAGCACCAGAAGGAGAAGGAGACUGUGUAAUGGGCCUGGGAGCUCCUGGCCCCAAGAAGGAAGACAAGGAGACCCUGGAGGACAGUGAUGUGACCUCCCUGGUUGUACCAGGAGAUGUGUGGGAGGAAGACAGAGAGGAGGACCUGCUCCCUGAGCGGGCGGCAGCAGCGGGAGAAGGCCGCUGCCCCAAGAAGGAGGACGAGCAGCAGGAGGGCAGAGGCAGUGAGCAGGAGCCUGGGCAGGAGCAGCUGGAGGGGCCCUGCCUCUUGUGCGAUGUGCUCUGCAGGUUGCAGCUGCAGCAGGUGGAGCGCAUUUUCCAGCGCACUCAAUACCCAGAUGUGUUUGCAAGAAAGGAGGUUUCCAUACCCACGUGUGUCACUGACGCCACGGUGAAGCCCAGGGACCCCGAAAACGAUUCGCCGUGAAAGCCUCUCUAGAACCUGCUUCAACCUGGCCUCGCUGUUCUCCUAGGCAGUUUUGGGCUGCUGCGUUUGCACUGCCUUUUAGCGUGUUUGUGAGGAAAGGUUUGAAUUGGGGCUGUUGUCAGAGAAUGGCACAAGUGAAUGUCACGAUGUGGAAAUUUGUCGUUACCAAGAGGGACAAGUCUCACUAAUGGAAAAGAAAUGAAAGGACCCAAUUGCUGCUCCGAACCCUUUGAACAAGUAAAGUAGAAAUACAAGUCAGCUCCUCGUAAUGGUGGUGUCUUUAGGGAGCACGUGUGUGGGGAGUCAUGCUGGGUUCAGUCUGACCUGGGAAGCAAGCAGAGUCAUGACCGAGGACCGAGGCUGUGAGAGGGUUCGGCCCUUGAAUGAUUAAAACUAUUCAGCCGUGUGAGGAUGCAGCUAGGGCAGUGAGCUUCUAAAUGUGUGGGCACCGGGGAAAGGGGAUCAAUACUCCCACACAGAACGCCCACAGUGGGAGUCAGCCACGUGGGCUUCACCAUGUGGACCGGGCUGUGGGGAGGAGACAGCUUAAAAUCCAAGGGCCGGGCUGUCCGCUGUUGUUUUAGUGUGGCCUAGAGCAGAGUGGAAAGGCCUGGGCUUGAGCUCCCGGGCGCGGGGUGGCGUGGCAGGAAGGAGCAACCAUGGCUCCAGUGCUCACCUUAGGAGGAGGCUGAGGGCAGCGUCGACAAACCGCAGAUUUGUCUGGAACCUGAACAGACACCGGGGUAGCAUACACUCCCACUGCCCUCAGGGACAAACGGCUUCCAGGUGAGCUGCAAACACUCACACGUUACCUCGAGGAUAAUGUCCCAAGUUGAGCUGUACGAAAGAUUAUUCUCUCCAGGAAUUUGCAAGAUGCAGGGAAUUUCAGAUUUUGGUGGUUGGAUUUUCAAACCCUGGGUUUUGUGGGGAACCUGUUUGGUGGAGCAGAGUAGAGGAUAGCGUUUCGGAUCCGAUUCUUGCCCUGGGCAUUGGAGUCCUCCCUGCUGGUGUGGCAGUGAGUCCUGAUUGCAUGGGGUCGCAGUAUCGGGAAUCCACACCACACGCAGCCACGUGCUGUAUAAAGUCCUUUGGGCCCGACUCGCUCCCGGAUGUGUUUUAUUGGGUUUCCUGUGCAGUUUGUGUGUGUGCUCAAUGACUGAAAGGAGGUGGCCAUUUGCGGGUGGUCUCGGUGAAUUUGGACGUGGCUCCGGUGGCUGCCCCAGACUCUAGGCUGUCACACCAGAGCCAUUGGGCAGGAGGGGCGUCCACACCUCUAAUGCCCCCGCAGGGCAAGCCGCCAAUGCUCCUGAUCCCCAUUGUCAGGCCUUCCUUGGCAC
ensembl:lincRNA